GCCUUUAACUUUUAUAUGAAUUUAUAACACCACACUAUUCAUGGCCAGUCCCCAGACGUGGUUGUGAGCAACGGCGACUGGGCGAACAGGAACUAGAGCUCGACUCCUGCGGACACUGCUCGGCAGGCUGCGCGUGUCUGUCCUGGACUGUCUGCAGGUCGAGACAUCCGGAGACGCGGCCGCGGAUCCCACAGCUCAUACUGCUGCGGCCUCGGCUUCUUCGCGUCCACCGGGGCGAGGCUUAGGCGACCCCGUGCUUUCUGUCCUGCAUGCAGCAGCAAGCAUUCCAGCGGCGAUACUGGGGCUGCAUUCUUUGUGCGCCCGGUUCCCAGGCAGCGAGCGGGCGUCGUCGCACGUUGACCGUGGAGAAAGAAGAAACCUGACGUACUCAUUAGUGGAGGCAGCCGUAUGGAGCGACAACGUUUUCCCGUCGUCCUGGAACUUCUCAACUGCACUUUAAUUAAAUGAAUGCGUGACAGGCUACAUACAAAC